CCUUACUAAACCUAUAUUAAAAUUCCUUCCAAUUACAAACAAAUGAUAUGUUCUUCUGUUGCUCAUAACUGUGAGGAAUUUUGAAUCACAAAUAAUUUUCACGGAGCAAUGGAACGGGAUUAUCUACAAAAUAAUUAAACUAUGUAUAUCUUGCACAAAGGUUCAUUUUCAUCUUCUAAACUUUUACAUAAAUAUCCUAGGUUCAACCGGUUGGCAAAUUCUGCUAAUGUAAGCUUAACUGUCUUAUGUCACCCCCUUCUCUUAGGGAAAUGAACAACAUAUGACUCUCCAACUGAACUGCAUCUAUGCGCGUUUUACUGCUGAAUUCCAAUGGAUUACUGUUGGCCUUCCAUUUCCAUGAUCCGUUUAAUAUGAAGGGCAGCUCUCACAACAUUUCCCCUUGUUAUUAUUCCCACCAGCUUUCCAUCACUAUCUACAACAGGAAGCCGGCGGUAUUUUGUUUUGAGCAGAAGUCUUGCUGCAUCCUCUAGAUUGGUGGACUCCCUAACUACUAGUGGAGCAGGCGUCAUCAAAUCACCAACCACUUUCCCCUUGGUCUUACUUAUCAACUUUUGAACCUCAUUGAAUGUUUUCCAGUUGCUGCCCACUUCGGGGAACAUGUUUGCAUCAGCUCCUCCUGUACCUGAUACAGAAUCCAGAGCCAAUAGAUCAUAAUCAGAAACAAGACCAACCAAUUUCCAGUCAUCAUCA
rnacentral:misc_RNA from 1 species